CAUCAGCAAAAGUAACUAGAGAUAAGCACUUCAAAGGAGAAAUAGAAAUAAACAGACAGUAAUAGUAUUCCCCUUUCGGAUAAGAAGGGGAAUGAAAACGAACACUUCCAGUGCAACUAUCCACCACUUGUUCAGGAACCAAUAAACAUCAAUUCAUAAUGCUACACUAGUGAAGAGUGAACAUACCUUCAACCAGAAAAGUACAUAAAGCAACAGCACUGCGGCAAUACUGAGUUGGAACAGCAUGGCAAAUGCAGCAGGUACUGUUGAACUGGGGAAAUUCUUCAGGUUCACCCCCAAACGUAAUAAC